rnacentral:rRNA from 1 species
CGCACGGGUGAGUAACGCGUAAGUAAUCUACCCUGGUGUUUGGGAUAACCCACCGAAAGGUGAGCUAAUACCGGAUACGCUGAUUUAUCAGGAAAGGUGGCCUCUUCAUGAAAGCUACUGCAUUAGGAGGAGCUUGCGUACCAUUAGCUAGUUGGUAGGGUAAUGGCCUACCAAGGCAACGAUGGUUAGCGGGUCUGAGAGGAUGAUCCGCCACACUGGAACUGGAACACGGACCAG